rnacentral:rRNA from 1 species
CGUGGGUAACCUGCCUUAUAGUGGGGGAUAGCCUUUCGAAAGGAAGAUUAAUACCGCAUAAGAUUGUAGUAUCGCAUGAUAUAGCAAUUAAAGGAGCAAUUCGCUAUAAGAUGGACCCGCGUCGCAUUAGCUAGUUGGUGAGGUAAUGGCUCACCAAGGCGACGAUGCGUAGCCGACCUGAGAGGGUGAUCGGCCACACUGGAACUGAGACACGGUCCAGACUCCUACGGGAGGCAGCAUG